rnacentral:rRNA from 1 species
AUUGAACGCUGGCGGCAUGCCUUACACAUGCAAGUCGAACGGCAGCGCGUCCUUCGGGAUGGCGGCGAGUGGCGAACGGGUGAGUAGAGCAUCGGAACGUGCCCGGUAGUGCGGGAUAGCUCGGCGAAAGCCGGAUUAAUACCGCAUGAGAUCCGAGGAUGAAAGCAGGGGAUCGCAAGACCUUGCGCUACUGGAGCGGCCGAUGUCAGAUUAGGUAGUUGGUGGGGUAAAGGCUCACCAAGCCUGCGAUCUGUAGCUGGUCUGAGAGGAUGAUCAGCCACAUCGGGACUGAGACACGGCCCGAACUCCUACGGGAGGCAGCAGUGGGGAAUUUUGGACAAUGGGCGCAAGCCUGAUCCAGCCAUGCCGCGUGCAGGAUGAAGGCCCUCGGGUUGUAAACUGCUUUUGUACGGAACGAAAGGCCUCCUUCGAAUAAAGGGGGGAGAUGACGGUACCGUAAGAAUAAGCACCGGCUAACUACGUGCCAGCAGCCGCGGUAAUACGUAGGGUGCGAGCGUUAAUCGGAAUUACUGGGCGUAAAGCGCGCGCAGGCGGUUUUGCAAGACAGUGGUGAAAUCCCCGGGCUCAACCUGGGAACUGCCAUUGUGACUGCAAGGCUGGAGUACGGCAGAGGGGGAUGGAAUUCCGCGUGUAGCAGUGAAAUGCGUAGAUAUGCGGAGGAACACCGAUGGCGAAGGCAGUCCCCUGGGCCUGUACUGACGCUCAUGCACGAAAGCGUGGGGAGCAAACAGGAUUAGAUACCCUGGUAGUCCACGCCCUAAACGAUGUCAACUGGUUGUUGGGGAUUUAUUUCUUCAGUAACGAAGCUAACGCGUGAAGUUGACCGCCUGGGGAGUACGGCCGCAAGGUUAAAACUCAAAGGAAUUGACGGGGACCCGCACAAGCGGUGGAUGAUGUGGUUUAAUUCGAUGCAACGCGAAAAACCUUACCCACCUUUGACAUGUAUGGAAUCCUGAAGAGAUUUGGGAGUGCUCGCAAGAGAGCCAUAACACAGGUGCUGCAUGGCUGUCGUCAGCUCGUGUCGUGAGAUGUUGGGUUAAGUCCCGCAACGAGCGCAACCCUUGCCAUCAGUUGCUACGAAAGGGCACUCUGAUGGGACUGCCGGUGACAAACCGGAGGAAGGUGGGGAUGACGUCAAGUCCUCAUGGCCCUUAUAGGUGGGGCUACACACGUCAUACAAUGGCCGGUACAAAGGGCAGCGAAGCCGCGAGGUGAAGCCAAUCCCAUAAAGCCGGUCGUAGUCCGGAUUGCAGGCUGCAACUCGCCUGCAUGAAGUCGGAAUCGCUAGUAAUCGUGGAUCAGCAUGUCACGGUGAAUACGUUCCCGGGUCUUGUACACACCGC